UAUCAAUAAAGGGAAACCACUUGUUAUUUCCUGUCUUUUUCAUGUUAACAGUGCCCAUUUUAUGAAAUAUGUGAUUGCCUAACCGUUUAUAACAUGGAAUGAAACUGAAAAGAUUUCCUCGAAAAGUAAAGAUCUUACUGUAUCCGAAAAACACGUUUUUAGAAUUACGCCUAUCUGUUCAUCGCUCUCUCUCCCUGUCUAUGAGAUAACAUAAAAAUGCUUGGAUCUAGAUGGAUGAAAUUUGCAAAUUGAGGUAGCAAAUCAGUCGCCAACUCGUCAAAGCCGUCCUAUAAUUACUCGUCAUUUUACUCAGAAACGUCUUGGUUUUGGUAUAAUCUGAAACUAAGUUCGCAUCUAUUGACUUUCUCAGGAUGGUCUUAAGGCUUAGGAGUGGGCCCGCUCCAGUCUACUCUUAGGUCAGUUCAGUGACAAUAUAAAGAUGCACAACAUUUUUCUAUAAAACUGUAAAAAAAGAGAGAGAAAGAAAGGAAGAAGAUAGCAUCCACUAAUAAAUGGCGCAAAGUUAUUGUGUAUUACUGUGAAAUAUAUGAGUAUUACAAAAG